rnacentral:tRNA from 2 species
AGACCGGUAGCUCAGUGGUUAGAGCACCAGUACGAGAAAUCUGGAGGUCCCAGGCUCAAUCCCUGGCCAGUUCA